UUGCAUAUGAUUAUUACAAUAAAGUAUUACAAUUAUAAAAGGUAUUUUAGAAACAUCAACAUAAAAAAUUGAGACCUUAUAUUCGAUACCUACUUUUCUUAAUAUUCGUAGAAAAGAAAGUGAAAAUUUUUAAAUAAGGAAGGAGAUAGUAUUCUUAAUAUUUGUAGAAAAGAAAAUAAAAAUUUAUAAUUAAGAAUGGAGAUAGUAAUUAAAACUAAAACGUAAACACACACUAAGUUUUCACAUUUCAAAAACAUGAUAUUUUUUACAAAUAAUAACAAUAAUAUUAAAACUCAUAACUUUGAAACUAAAAAAUAAAACAAGUGAAAACACUAAGUCUUAAACAAUACAUACAAUUAUUAAAUAGAGUAACUCAUUCAAAAGAUACUGUUGAAGUCCAAAUAUCUCUAACCAUACCACAAAAUCAACGAUAGUAAAAAAACUCUUAAAAUAAAGUGAAGCACAAGUCUCUAGUACUUCAGUUCCAUAAGAAAAACUACAUUGAUUGCUUGUCAUGAUCGUGUUGAAUACAACCUACAUACAAACAUAUUAUAGAGCAGACAUAAAGAAGAUGUGAGUUUAUCUUUCAUCAUGUAAAAUGAAUAAGUCAUACAUAGAAUAACGCACGUUCAUGAAUUGUAUAUAGAUGGAUGAACUUUCAAUACUAAAACUUUUAUUAUUUUAAAUUCAUUACGAGCCAAAAUUAACUUAGGAUAACAUUGAUUGUGAAGUUAUGCUACAAACACACACACACACGCACACACGCCCACACGUGCACACGCACAUCUUUAAUUUUUUAAUACUCAUAUAUCCUUUUAUAUUAGGUUCAAUUAAAUAGCUAUUAGAACAUAUAUAUUCAAUUAAGAAAACAUUUCUAUGAUAAAAUAU
rnacentral:lncRNA from 1 species